rnacentral:tRNA from 1 species
GCCGAGGUAGCUCAGUGGUAGAGCAGCGGACUGAAAAUCCGCGUGUCGUUGGUUCGAUCCCGACCCUCGGCACCA